rnacentral:rRNA from 1 species
CCUACGGGAUGCACCAGUGGGGAAUAUUGCACAAUGGGCGCAAGCCUGAUGCAGCCAUGCCGCGUGUAUGAAGAAGGCCUUCGGGUUGUAAAGUACUUUCAGCGGGGAGGAAGGUGUUGUGGUUAAUAACCACAACAAUUGACGUUACCCGCAGAAGAAGCACCGGCUAACUCCGUGCCAGCAGCCGCGGUAAUACGGAGGGUGCAAGCGUUAAUCGGAAUUACUGGGCGUAAAGCGCACGCAGGCGGUCUGUCAAGUCGGAUGUGAAAUCCCCGGGCUCAACCUGGGAACUGCAUUCGAAACUGGCAAGCUUGAGUCUCGUAGAGGGGGGUAGAAUUCCAGGUGUAGCGGUGAAAUGCGUAGAGAUCUGAAGGAAUACCAGUGGCGAAGGCGGCCCCCUGGACAAAGACUGACGCUCAGAUGCGAAAGCGUGGGGAGCAAACAGGAUUAGAUACCCGCGUAGUC